GUACACUCCUGCGGGAGGCAGCAGUGGGGAAUAUUGCACAAUGGGCGCAAGCCUGAUGCAGCCAUGCCGCGUGUAUGAAGAAGGCCUUCGGGUUGUAAAGUACUUUCAGCGGGGAGGAAGGCAAUACGGUUAAUAACCGUGUUGAUUGACGUUACCCGCAGAAGAAGCACCGGCUAACUCCGUGCCAGCAGCCGCGGUAAUACGGAGGGUGCAAGCGUUAAUCGGAAUUACUGGGCGUAAAGCGCACGCAGGCGGUCUGUCAAGUCGGAUGUGAAAUCCCCGGGCUCAACCUGGGAACUGCAUUCGAAACUGGCAGGCUUGAGUCUUGUAGAGGGGGGUAGAAUUCCAGGUGUAGCGGUGAAAUGCGUAGAGAUCUGGAGGAAUACCGGUGGCGAAGGCGGCCCCCUGGACAAAGACUGACGCUCAGGUGCGAAAGCGUGGGGAGCAAACAGGAUUAGAUACCCGGGUAGUCCC
rnacentral:rRNA from 1 species